rnacentral:rRNA from 1 species
UAUGGUAGAACCGGGGUAAGCAUGUAGGAGGAGGACCAGGUAAAUCCGGGCCUCAUAAACUCUGAGACGUGAUACCGAGCCGCUUCAGGCGAAGUCAUUGAUCCUAUGCUGCCUAGAAAAGCCCAGCAGCGAGUUGACAUGGUGCCCGUACCCCAAACCAACACAGGUGGACAGGUAGAGCAUACCAAGGCGAGUGGGAUAACUAUGGUUAAGGAACUCGGCAAAUUGCCUCCGUAACUUCGGGAGAAGGAGGACCCCAGUAGCGUGAUGAGACUUGCUCUCUGAGCGUGAAGGGGUGGCACAAAAUUGAGGGAAGCGACUGUUUACCAAAAACACAGCAGCGUGCUAAGCCGUAAGGCGCUGUAUACGCUGUGACUCCUGCCCGGUGCUGGAAGGUUACGGGGAUGGGUUAGUCCUUCGGGACGAAGCUCUGAACCUAAGCCCCAGUAAACGGCGGCCGUAACUAUAACGGUCCUAAGGUAGCGAAAUUCCUUGUCGGGUAAGUUCCGACCUGCACGAAUGGAGUAACGACUUCCCUACUGUCUCAACCAUAGACCCAGCGAAAUUGAAGUACGAGUAAAGAUGCUCGUUUGCUGCAGAAGGACGGAAAGACCCCGUGGACCUUUACUAUAACUUGAUGUUGUGUUUUGUCAUAUGUUGUGUAGGAUAGGUGGGAGACUUGGAAGCAUGGACGCUAGUCUGUGUGGAGUCAUCGUUGAAAUACCACCCUGCAUAUGGUGAGGCUCUAACCUAGACCCGUUAUCCGGGUUGGGGACAGCGUCAGGCGGGUAGUUUAACUGGGGCGGUUGCCUCCUAAAGAGUAACGGAGGCGCCCAAAGGUUCCCUCAGCCUGGUUGGCAAUCAGGCGUUGAGUGCAAUGGCAAAAGGGAGCUUGACUGCGAGACCCACAAGUCGAGCAGGAGCGAAAGCUGGGCAUAGUGAUCCGGCGGUUGCGUGUGGAAGCGCCGUCGCUCAACGGAUAAAAGGUACCCCGGGGAUAACAGGCUAAUCUUGCCCAAGCGUCCAUAGCGACGGCAAGGUUUGGCACCUCGAUGUCGGCUCAUCGCAUCCUGGGGCUGAAGCAGGUCCCAAGGGUUGGGCUGUUCGCCCAUUAAAGCGGUACGCGAGCUGGGUUCAGAACGUCGUGAGACAGUUCGGUCCCUAUCCUCUGCAGCCGGAGGUGAAUUGAGGAAAGCUGUCCCUAGUACC